rnacentral:rRNA from 1 species
AGUGAACGCUGGCGGUAGGCCUAACACAUGCAAGUCGAACGGCAGCACAGUAAGAGCUUGCUCUUACGGGUGGCGAGUGGCGGACGGGUGAGGAAUACAUCGGAAUCUACUUUUUCGUGGGGGAUAACGUAGGGAAACUUACGCUAAUACCGCAUACGACCCACGGGUGAAAGCAGGGGAUCUUCGGACCUUGCGCGAUUGAAUGAGCCGAUGUCGGAUUAGCUAGUUGGCGGGGUAAAGGCCCACCAAGGCGACGAUCCGUAGCUGGUCUGAGAGGAUGAUCAGCCACACUGGAACUGAGACACGGUCCAGACUCCUACGGGAGGCAGCAGUGGGGAAUAUUGGACAAUGGGCGCAAGCCUGAUGCAGCCAUACCGCGUGGGUGAAGAAGGCCUUCGGGUUGUAAAGCCCUUUUGUUGGGAAAGAAAAGCAGAAGGUUAAUACCCCGCUGUUCUGACGGUACCCAAAGAAUAAGCACCGGCUAACUUCGUG